GACGAACGCUGGCGGCGUGCCUAAUACAUGCAAGUGGAACGCACGAGGUACACCGUAGUUUACUACAUCGUACUUUGUGAGUCGCGAACGGGUGAGUAACGCGUAGGUAACCUACCUUUUAGCGGGGGAUAACUAUUGGAAACGAUAGCUAAUACCGCAUAAGAUAUCUUACUGCAUGGUAAGAUAUUAAAAGAUGCAAUUGCAUCACUAAGAGAUGGACCUGCGUUGUAUUAGCUAGUAGGUGAGGUAACGGCUCACCUAGGCAACGAUACAUAGCCGACCUGAGAGGGUGAUCGGCCACACUGGGACUGAGACACGGCCCAGACUCCUACGGGAGGCAGCAGUAGGGAAUCUUCGGCAAUGGGGGGAACCCUGACCGAGCAACGCCGCGUGAGUGAAGAAGGUUUUCGGAUCGUAAAGCUCUGUUGUAAGAGAAGAACGAGUGUGAGAGUGGAAAGUU
rnacentral:rRNA from 1 species